rnacentral:rRNA from 1 species
GUGGGGAAUCUUGCGCAAUGGCCGAAAGGCUGACGCAGCGACGCCGCGUGUGGGAUGACGGCCUUCGGGUUGUAAACCACUGUCGGAAGGGACGAAUGGCCCGCAAGGGCAGUGACGGUACCUUCAAAGGAAGCACCGGCUAACUCCGUGCCAGCAGCCGCGGUAAUACGGAGGGUGCGAGCGUUGUCCGGAAUCACUGGGCGUAAAGGGCGCGUAGGCGGCCCGGUAAGUAGGGGGUGAAAUCUUGCGGCUUAACCGCAAGGCUGCCUUCUAGACUGCCAGGCUCGAGCACAGUAGAGGCAGGUGGAAUUCCCGGUGUAGCGGUGGAAUGCGUAGAGAUCGGGAAGAACAUCAGUGGCGAAGGCGGCCUGCUGGACUGUAGCUGACGCUGAGGCGCGACAGCGUGGGGAGCAAACAGGAUUAGAAACCCCAGUAGUCC